AAACUAUUUAGGCAAGGGAAGUCAGAAAAAUAGAUUCAUAACUUUGGGAAAAGGAUUGGAUCUGACUGUUGGGCACAUGGGUCAUAGUCCUAAACCCAUCGACUGUUGAUGGACUGCUCGAACUGCUCCUACGAUGAGAGUGGGUCACUGCGUGCCAUCUAGGGGAUGGUCUGGAAUAUUUUCUUUGGAGGCCUUCCCUGUGCAUCAAACAUCCAACUGAGAACUGCCCAACCCUCAGAGCCAAUCCUUUUCACAACGUUUCUAAUCUAUUUUGCCAAAUUCCCUUGCCUAUAUUU
rfam:Capsicum annuum cultivar Zunla-1 chromosome 5, whole genome shotgun sequence